GGUGACGCGUGCGCCGGCCGGCCGCCGAGGGGCUACCGUUCUGCCUCCGACCGGUCGUGUGUGGGUUUACUCGGAGAAAUACUAGGCUUUAGAAUUUCACCAUAUGAAUUUUGGGAGAGAGGAGCACAGUUCAGCCCAUAACUAACACACGUGAUGAAGAAGACAUGCCAACAGAGGGUUAAUUCCAGAUAAAAUGAAAUGUUCCAAACAGUACGUUUGGUUAUUUGAUUCAUCUGUGGGGGAAGGAAAGAUAAUUUUCCAAAGGACAUUCCUCCUAAAUUCUGUCUUAAAGUUGUUUACGGAAUGAAGUUGAUAAUAGUGAGACCUUGUUGGUACAAGACUAUGUAACAUAACCUGCGCUUCUCAACAAAGAAUUGCUUUUCUGACUUCUGCACUCAGUUCUUUCCUCCAGCUCACUUUAUUGUAAGAACCUUGGUGUCUGUAAUCGGCUCGGAACCCUUGCUGCUCUUUCACUGAAUAUCGCUGUCUGGAGGUUACUUGGUACACUGGUCGACAAAACCUUGAAAUGUUGAUGUUUAAGGGCUGUUGAUUGCUGGCAGCAAAGAAGUCCAACUGUGCUGGUACCCGAGAUAGCGUCUCCACAUUUUCUUCCAGGAUCAUCACCUUUGUUCUAAAUAGCUCCCACAUAGUGUGAACAGAAGUCAUAUGUUUUAGAUUUUCUGCCUUGGCACCCAGGAAACCAGUAUGAUUGAGUAAACAUAUUAAACUUCCUCUGCAUUUCCAGCCUGAACAGAUGUUGAGUACAAGCUGAUCCACCUACGUUCAACCUGAGAGAGUCCACAUCCACAGACUGUUUCAUUUCCCUUUUUCAAUUUACAUAGAAGCAUAGAUUCUUGCUGGCAUAUACAAAUGCGCCAUUUAAGGCAAUCAAAAAUGGUUCCACAUCUCAUCUGAUUUCCACAAUUGUUGCUGUAACGAUGGACUACUGAGGAGAGAGACAAUUUCUCUGGCACAUCUUCCCACAUUUUAGCAACAUGUUCAUGGAGAGCCAAUAUUCAGUAAUUACAGCCCAAUUCCUCACAAUUUCACAAUUCGCUAACAAUAUGCAUUUUCACAAUGUAAAGCUGAUUUUCCUUUAACCAAAUCAAACAUGAAAAGAUAGCUGCAUGCAAUGGGCAAUCUAGAUCAUUAGAAGAUUGAUGUAAAAUUAGAGGACACUGAGACUGGAAUAGAUUGCAAACUUCAGGGAGCUCAGAAAACUUGUAAACUCUACAUUUUGAGGAAAUAUGUUGUCGAUGCUUUUGCAACUCUAUGCAGUAACUUAACAAAUAAAGCCUUAAAGUAAC
rnacentral:lncRNA from 1 species